rnacentral:rRNA from 1 species
AUACGAAUGGGGCAAGCGUUGUUCGGAAUCACUGGGCUUAAAGCGUGCGUAGGCGGACUUACAAGUCGGGAGUGAAAUCCCUGGGCUCAACCCAGGAACUGCUUCCGAAACUGUAAGUCUAGAAUCCGGUAGAGGUCAGGAGAAUUCCUAGUGUAGAGGUGAAAUUCGCAGAUAUUGGGAGGAACACCGGUGGCGAAGGCGGCUCUCUGGACCGGUACUGACGCUGAGGCGCGAAAGCCAGGGGAGCAAACAGGAUUAGAAACCCCGGUAGUCC